rnacentral:ncRNA from 2 species
UUAAUUUGCUAGAAUAAAGGUGCUCUAAGUGACGCUUAAAAACUUAGAGUGAAAAGGGAAAUAGGUGUAAAUCCUGUACUGUACCCGCAGCUGUAAGUAAAGAGAAAAUACUUCAUUUUUAACCACUUUGGUAGAUGAUAAAGGGAAGGUGGAAGUAUUGAAUUUUACAAGUCAGAAGACCUGCCUUUAUCUGCUCGUUAUU